rnacentral:rRNA from 1 species
AUCAUGGCUCAGGAUGAACGCUGGCGGCGUGCUUAACACAUGCAAGUCGAACGAAGCACUUUAUUAUGAUUUCUCCGGAAUGACGAUUUAGUGACUGAGUGGCGGACGGGUGAGUAACGCGUGGGUAACCUGCCUUAUACAGGGGGAUAACAGUUAGAAAUGACUGCUAAUACCGCAUAAGCGCACAGGAUUGCAUGAUCUAGUGUGAAAAACUCCGGUGGUAUAAGAUGGACCCGCGUCUGAUUAGCUGGUUGGUGAGGUAACGGCCCACCAAGGCGACGAUCAGUAGCCGACCUGAGAGGGUGACCGGCCACAUUGGGACUGAGACACGGCCCAAACUCCUACGGGAGGCAGCAGUGGGGAAUAUUGCACAAUGGGGGAAACCCUGAUGCAGCGACGCCGCGUGAGCGAAGAAGUAUUUCGGUAUGUAAAGCUCUAUCAGCAGGGAAGAAAAUGACGGUACCUGACUAAGAAGCCCCGGCUAACUACGUG